AGCACCCACUAAGUCAUAACAUGAAAUUUCAGAACACCUGAGAUAAAGAUCCUAAAGCUGCCAGAGAGGAAAAUUACAGGUCACAAAUAAAAGCUCUGCAGUCAGGAUAGCACAGGAUUUCAACAGCAGAGAUGAAAUCUAGAACAACAAUGAAUUAAUGCAUUUAAAACUGCUUACCUACAAUUCCACGAUCAAACUAUCAAAGGAGUGAAAGAGUAAAAUAAACCCAUUUCACUCAGGCAAAGGUCUUGAAAAGUUUAUAUCCCAAUGACCUUCCCUGGGAUGCUGAAAGAUAUACUCCACCCAACAGGAAAGUAAACCAAAAAGCAGCAGCUAUGGGAUCCAGGAGACAGGAGAGGAAGAAAUGACCAGGGUGAAGGUAAAGAGAAAUCCCAGGGCAGAAGCUAUGCCUGAGGUCUAGAGAAUAACCAACGUGCAGUGGCUCACGCCUGUAAUCCCAGCACUUUGGGAGGCCAAGGCGGGCAGAUCACUUGAGGUCAGGAUUUCGAGAUCAGCCUGGCCAACAUGGUGAAACCCACUCUCUACCAAAAAUUUAAAAAUUAGCUGGGUGUGGUGGUGCAUGCCUGUAAUCCUAGCUACUCAGGAGGCUGAGGUGGGAGGAUCGCUUGAACUCAGGAGGCGGAGGCUGCAGUGAGCCAAGAUCACACCACUGCACUCAAGCCUGGGCAACAGAGUGAGACCUUGUCUUCAAAAAAAAAAAAAAAAAAAAAAAAAAAGAAUAACCAAAGUGCCUGUUCUGGGCUGAGUUGUGUCACUCCAAAAGUCAUGUUAAAGUUCUAACCACAGUAUCUCAGUAUGUGACUGUAUUUGGAAAUGGGCCUUUAAACAGGUAAAUAAGUAAAAGUGAAGUCACUAGAGUGGGCCCCAAUCCAAUAUGACCAGCGUCCUUUUUCUUUUUCUUUUCUUUUAAAUUGAGGUCCCAUUCCAAUUAGCAUCUUUUUAAGGUAAGGAAAUUUAGACACAGAGAGACACAAAGGGAAGACCAUGUGAAGACACAGGAAGACGGCCAUUUACAAGACAAGAAGAGAGGCCUCUGAAGAAACCAACCCUGCUGACACCUUGCUCUUUCCAUCUCCAGAAUUGUGAGAAAAUUAAUUUCUCUUAUUUAAGCCACCCAGUCUGUGGUACUUUGCUAUGGCAGCCCUAGUAAACGAAUAUAGCACUGAACCCAGAACAAGGGAACCAGGAAAGAUUAAGAAAAAAAAAAAGAAUUUGAUGUAUAUACAAGAUUACAUAAUGCUAUCAGAGAUUUGGGGGAUGAAUUCAUCAUCAAUCCAUAGGAAAAGAGGCAAACAAAUGAAGUAAAAGUGAGGGGGGAAAAGUGGUCUGAGAAACACAAUCAUGGUACACUAUGGCUCAUGAUGAAUAUUUAGCUAGUAAAUAACAUGAACUUAGAUCGCUGACUUAACCAAAGGUUGAGAAACAACUGUGGUGUGGUGUGGGUGGAUAUUAUGAAAGAGCUAAAUUCUUAUCUACCAUAGGAGGAAAUCAACAGGUAAUAACACUAAUGGAAAAAUCAAGAAGUGGCGAUAUAAGCACAUUAUUUAAAUAUGGAGGCAAAUGCCAAUAAAUAAUGCAAAAAUACUUAAAGUGGCUGCCUUUGGGAAAUGAUAUCCAGGAGUAAGGUGGAAGACCGCCCCUUUUCAUGAUAAUCUCAGUGGAGCUAUUUGAAUUGUAAACAACUCAUAGGUGUUUAUGAAUAAUGAAAGAAUUUUAAAACCUAAGCAGACCACUAAAGACCUUUUUAUUAAAUUGUAUAUAUAUAUAUAUAUAUAUAUAUAUAUAUAUAUAUAUAUAUAUAUAUAUAAUUUUGAGACAGAGUCUCACUCCGUGGCCCAGGCUGGAGUGUGGUGGGGUGAUCUUGGCUCACUGCAACAUCCGCCUCCCAGGUUCAAGCAAUUCUCCUGCCUCAGCCUCCCAAGUAGCUGGGAUUAUAGGUGAGCGCCAUCACACCCAGCUAAUUUUUGUAUUUUUAGUACAGAUGGGGUUUUGCCAUGUUGGGCAGGCUGGUCUCGAACUCCUGAGCUCAGGUGAUCUUGGCCUCCCAAAGUGUUGGGAUUACAGGCGUAAGCCACUGCAUCCGGCCUAAAGACAUUUUUAAACAAAAGACUUGCUAGUCCUCUUAGCCAGACACAGAACAAGUGUGUUAAAUAAAUAAGACAUGAAACAUCUAAUGGUGACAAGAUUUUUUAACAGGCCAUGUUAACUGAAAUGAGGAGGACACAGAGGGGACAAUAGGGUCAGGAAACUUUUUUGAAGGUGUAGUGUUUAUAUGAUGGCACUUCUGCUGACAGCGUCCUCCUCAGAAGUUGCCUGCCCAGGGGCUCUUUAAAACAGACUAGGUGGAUUUCCAUGUCUGCCCCUGCUUGUUCUUUUUGCCUCGCCAGUUGUCUUGCUCCGAUUUCUUCCCAAGUGGGCUUUCAUGAUGUAUUCAUGAUGAGCCUUCAUGACGUACUCUACAAGACUAGCCUUUUAGCAAGAACUUUUAUAUCUCUGUUAAAUGUGACAAGCAGAGAAAAACUGUAUAGCCAUCACUUAGAUGAAAUAUAGCAAUGUGACCAAGCCUAUGUUACAAAAAUCAUGUAGGUUUUACUUAUUUUCCUUUCUCUUUGUCCUUAACUUCCUCCAGGCAGGACUGCUUGCAUGUAGUCAUUUUGGUAGAGGGUAGUCACUAAUAAGUGAUUAACUUCAUAUCCUAACCCCCAGGGGCGGCUUGCAAGAUUGAUGAACUUGUUUUUCUUGUAAAGAACAAUGAUCCCUGGGUCAUGCUGACCUCCUUGAUGGCACCCAGAAGUUUGAUUGGCCAAGGGAUGCAAGCAGCUUUGAUAAUCAGGGGAUCUCACUUCCCAUAUACCUACCUUACUCAUAAAAGCCACUGGUUACGUGCAAAGGGAGGCUGAAUUUGAGAAUUUGCCUCUCCCACCCUCAUGCUUUGGUCAAAUUGAAUAAACCUUUCUCUGCUCUGAAGCACCGAUGUGUCAGUGUUUGGCUUACUGCGCAUCAGGUACUUGAACCUAACUUUUGGGGUUCUGCAACAGAUUUUGGCAACCAUGCCAGGUCUAGCAUGGCAAUAGGCCCUGGCCAGGUUAGGCGAACGAGUGUCCCAGCAGCUGCCCAAGUGUGUUGGUCAGGGGGCCCUAAAGUCGCUCUUCUAGGUCAGUGUAGGCUGCUGUUGGUACUCUAGAAGCUUAGAGCAGAGAAACAUCUCAGACUGCUAUCUGGACUUCUGGUUUUGGUUUGAAGGGUAAGUCACUGCGGUGCACACAGCCAUAUCUCACUCUCUCUGCUUGCAUUGUGAAGAGGGCCCUUUUGGGGGAGUAAUAGAAUGGUGGACUAUGCCCAUUUUCUUGUUUGCUUUCCUGUAGGGAGUUUGGUUUUCUGUUUGUGAUUUUGUUUUGUUGUUGUUGUUGUUUGGUUUGGGGGGUGUGUGUGUGUGUAUCUGUGUGUGUGUGUGUGUGUGGUGUGUGUGUUAUGUGAAAAGACUGAACAGGGCAAAUUUGGAAUUGAUCCCAGAGAGUAGCAUCAUUGGCUGCAUUCUCCAGAAUUGGGCCACUUUCAGCUAUGAGCCCAUGAAGAAAAAUAAAAUUUUUUUAACUGUAACGCUGCUUGGCCUCAAUAUGCCUUAGAAUUUGGGAAAAAAUGGCUGACAAACAGUUCUUUAAGUUAUGCUACUAUAAUACAACUGCAACUAUUCUGUAAGAGCAGAGAAAAUAGGAUGCAAUCCUGUAUGUCCAGGCUUUUAUACUCUUUUAUCAGAAUGAACCUACUCAAAAGAGGUAUAAUUUGAUGCUGCAAAAGGAAAAACAGCCCAAACCUAAGGUUUUAGACUCCCACCAUUAGGUGGGGAAGACAGGGCACUGCUUGGUGCUUUGAAUCCCCUGAAUAAUCAUCCUGAUCCUCUGCCCCCCAGUCAGCUAUGGCUCCAGCACCUCCACCUCCUUAUGGGAUUGUCUGGAGCAGGAGGGGAACACUCCCAAACCUGUCCUCCCCAUGGAAUUAGGACAGGUUGUGGUCUCGCCUUCCUGCAACUGACAGGAAACCCAAUUUGGCCUGGGACCCACUGGUCCCUUAGUAGGGCAGUUUCCUCUGUGUCAAUUCCCCACUGUGGGACUUGAAUGGACAACAGUUUGGCAUGAUGUGGUUACAUUUCCUUUUCCCACUUUGGAGCUGUUCAGUGGGAAAACAAUAUCUUUGGAAAAACAAUAAUCCCCCCUAUCCCAACCCAAGCAAAUGGCUGGGCUAUUCUUGUCUAUAUUUCUGACCUACCACCCGACAAGGGCAGAUACUCACUUUGUUAAAGUGCUGCUCACAGCAGAAGAAAGGCAUGUAGUCACAGAAAAGGCUAGGGAAGAAGCAAAUCGGCUCCAUCUGGAGGCAGGAAACAAUCACCCCUGGCCAAUAGACUCAGUCCCUAACACAGAGACCAGGUGCGAUGUAAAUGGUGGGGCCUUUCCCACUUAGGACACUAUGAGAACCACAUCCUUGAAGGUUUGAGGAAAGGGGUUACUCAGGUUAAGAGCCUCAAUAAGGUACAGGAAGUACAGCGGCAAGCAUAUGAGGACCCUUUGUAAUUCCCAGAAAGACUCCAUCAGACAUGUGGAAAGUAGGUUGACGCUAACUAACCCUGAGGCACCGGACAAUCAGAGAAUGGUCAAUGUGACCUUUAUCAGCCACAGUGCCCUGAUAUUCAAAGAAAACUGCAAAAGGUAAAUGGGAUCCUUGGGUUGCCAAUCUCACAUUUAGUGGACUUAGCUUUUAAAGUGUACUAUGCUCAGGAUGAGGCUCAGGAAAGUGCAAAUUGAAGCAACAAGUAACUCACUGGCAGCUGUGCUUGACUACCAACCUAGGGGAAAAGGAAGAAAUCAAAGAGCGGCUCACGCCCCCUUCAGAAAAAAAACCAAUAUGCCUAUUGUAAGAAGGAGGGACACUGGAAAAAGGGCUGUCCCAAAUUGACCAAAGCAGCUAGCAAGUGCAGUGUCCCUCAAAAUCAGAUGAGGAGAGAGAAUAAUAUUUAGAUGAAGACUGAUGUGUCCCAGGGACUCCCUUAGACUUGGAGCAACCAGUGGCUAUAUCCCCACAGGAUUCCUAGAUACAACUGACAGUGGGGAACAGAAUGAUUGACUUUUUACUUGACACAGUGCCACAUAUUAAUUAAUUAACAAUUGUCUCUCUCCAGCUUUGGGAAAAACCAUUACUGUUACACGGAUAUUGGGAGACACCAUUAUCCCUUUCUACAAUCUUCAGGUUACCAUUUACGAGAGACCGGCCUAGGGCAUAGUUUCUUGUACAUGCUUAAUGCCCAGUGCCCCUCCUGGGCUGGGAUUUGCUUGCCAAAUUGUAUGCUCAACUUGUCUUUCCCCCCAGAUGCCUAGAUAUAAUGAUUCCUUCUGAACAAGUUUGCAGGUUUCAAAUACUCCUGCUGCAACCAGAAAACGAAGAGGUUCAGGACAUUCCAGAAGAAAUUCUCACACAGGAACAGGAAUACUCCUUGGCUGUGGAUUAUACUGCUGUGGCACUAUAUAUGUGGGAUUGCAAGAUCGCCCUUCUCAAGCUCCUGACACCCUGUUCAACAAUGUUACAACAAAAUUGCCUAAGUCCCGGGACAUGUGAAUAUUUUCAACUGCAGAACAAUGAUCCUUAGGUCAUACUGACCUCCCUGAUGGCAUCCAGAAAUUUGACUGGCCAAGGGACACGAGCAGCUUUGAUCAUCAGGGAAAGCCCCCAAUUACAUGCAAAGGAAGGUCAUAUUUGAGAAUCUGCUUCUCCCACCCUCAUACUUUGGCCAAAUUGAAUAAACCUUUCUAAGCAUUAAUGUGUCAGUGUUUGGCUUACUGUGCACCGGGUACAUGAACCUAACUUUUGGGGUUCUACAACAGCAACCUGACUGAGCUAAUCACGUACAGCCAAGAACAGCUGAGCUACAGUAGCUCCUUAAAAUCAGGGUCCAGAUGUUGUUCAUAGAUGAGAGAAGAGAAAAUAACUAUCACAUGCAGCAUCAGACAUUCAAUGACACAAAUCCUCAAAAUCAGAUGCUUUAAAAAAUGAAGCCAAUGGCUGGGCAUGGUGGCUCAUGCCUGUAAUCCCAGCACUUUGGGAGGCCAAGGCAGGAGGAUCGCUUGAGCUCAGGAGUUCAAGACCAACCUGGGCAACAAAGUGAGACCUUAUCUCUAUCAAAAAUUUAAAAAUAAAUUAAUUAAAAUAAUUUAAAAAUGAAGCCAGGUUGCUCAAGUAUUCAUCAAGUAUUUACUGAGGCUUACUAUGUGUUAUGAUGAUGAGACACUUCUUUGAGCCAUCAAAGGUUUCUGGCUUCCUCUGCAACUAAAAAUAAUUACCCUCCCCAAUGAAGGGUCUGUGUGUUCCACAGGUAUAGCAGCAGAAGAGACAACUUGGAAAAAGUGAAGGUAGGCCAGGCACAGUGGCUCAUGGCUAUAAUCCUAACACUUUGGGAGGCUGAGGUGAGUGGAUUCGCUUGAGCUAAGGAGUUUGAGACCAGCCUGGGCAACAUGGCAAAACCUGGUCUCUAUUAAAAAAAAUACAAAAAAUUGGCCAGGCAUUGUAGUCCACACCUGUAGUCUCAGCUACUAGGGAGGCUGAGGUGGGAGGAUCACUUCAGCCAGGAGGCAGAGGCUGCAGUGAGCCUAGAUGGCACCACUGCACUCCAGCCUGGGUGACAGAGCAAGACCCUGUCUCAAAAAAAAAAAAAAAAAAAAAGGUAAGCCACAACUCCACUUAAGAGGAGAGGCAACUGGAGAAAGAUCCCAGGAGGUUAUAUUCAACAACGGAGCAAUAACACAGUAGUCUUGCUAGACAUCCACAGCCUUUAAAUGGACAUAUUCUACUCUGUUUAUCACCUUUAUAAAAGUUUUCAAGUUUUCUGGAUAGUUCUACUCAGUUGAUGGCAAUUACCCUGCCAGGUAACUUACUCACUAUAAUUGAAUAAACCAGCAAUCUGGUUUAUCAGUCAGUCUCUCUUGCUCAAUUGACAAUCCCUAAAAGUUCAUCCAUUCCUGUGUGAGACCGUAUAUCUGACAAUUCAGUCAAAGGAAGUUGGUCAAAUCCCACAACUGACUGCCAAAGAAAGUAAUAUCUAAUCACAAAAAUACCACAAUUAAUUACAGGUAGUAACUAGGUUCUAAAGAAAUUAUCUCCUAAGUAGAUUUUAAUAUAAAUUUUGAACAGUU
rnacentral:lncRNA from 10 species